rnacentral:rRNA from 1 species
UGACUGCUAUCGGAUUGAUACUAAGCCAUGCGAGUCAUUGUAGCAAUACAAGGCAUACGGCUCAGUAACGCGUAGUCAACCUAACCUAUGGACGGGAAUAACCUCGGGAAACUGAGAAUAAUGCCCGAUAGAACAUUAUACCUGGAAUGGUUUAUGUUCCAAAUGAUUUAUCGCCGUAGGAUGGGACUGCGGCCUAUCAGUUUGUUGGUGAGGUAAUGGCCCACCAAGACUAUUACAGGUACGGGCUCUGAGAGGAGUAGCCCGGAGAUGGGUACUGAGACACGGACCCAGGCCCUAUGGGGCGCAGCAGGCGAGAAAACUUUGCAAUGUGCGAAAGCACGACAAGGUUAAUCCGAGUGGUUUCUGCUAAAGAAACCUUUUGUUAGUCCUAGAAACACUAACGAAUAAGGGGUGGGCAAGUUCUGGUGUCAGCCGCCGCGGUAAAACCAGCACCUCAAGUGGUCAGGAUGAUUAUUGGGCCUAAAGCAUCCGUAGCCGGCUCUGUAAAUUUUCGGUUAAAUCUGUACGCUCAACGUACAGGCUGCCGGGAAUACUGCAAAACUAGGGAGUGGGAGAAGUAGACGGUACUCGGUAGGAAGUGGUAAAAUGCUUUGAUCUAUCGAUGACCACCUGUGGCCAAGGCGGUCUACCAGAACACGU